rnacentral:SRP_RNA from 1 species
ACUGGGCAUGGUGGCUUGUGCCUGUAGUCCCAGCUACUGGGGAGGCUGAGGUGGGAGGAUCACUUGAGCCCAGGAGUUUGAAGCUGCAGUGAGCUAUGAUUGUGCCACUGCACUCCAGCCUGGGCCACAUAGUGAGACCUUACCUCUU